AGCUUUGCGCAGAGGCAGUGUCAUAGCCGAUGAGGUACUACCGAGGCGUGACUAUUUGCUAGUUGAAAACCUAUGGGACAUCAACUAUGUAAUACAUUUUGAUGCGUGUAAUUCCCUCUUCUAUAAUUAUCUACUGGGA